rnacentral:rRNA from 1 species
UACGUAGGGUGCGAGCGUUGUCCGGAAUUAUUGGGCGUAAAGAGCUCGUAGGCGGUGUGUCGCGUCGGCCGUGAAAACCCGGAGCUCAACUCCGGGCCUGCAGUCGAUACGGGCGGACUUGAGUGUUGCAGGGGAGACUGGAAUUCCUGGUGUAGCGGUGAAAUGCGCAGAUAUCAGGAGGAACACCGGUGGCGAAGGCGGGUCUCUGGGCAACUACUGACGCUGAGGAGCGAAAGCGUGGGGAGCGAACAGG